GAGAACAUUCCUUUCCUCAGGGAAUAGGAUGGGCACCUCUCACAUGACGGUCUCAUGAUGGCUUUAGAGGAAGGUCAGAAAAUCCUUUCUAGGUUUUGUGGCUUGUUUUAGGGGAGAAGGGUAUAAAAACAUCACAGAGAAACCUUCCUGCUUCUGCAGUUUUCUCAGAUUAUUUUGGGUUAAAAUACUCAGUAUGUCAAGACGACAUAUUCUGGGGCAGCCUUGAUAGGGCUCAGAUGGGAAGGGCCAUCUCUGGAAAUGGGAUUUUAUUCUACAGGGAUCAUUAAUUCUCUCAAGACUCAAAAGGCUAAUAAUGAUUGCUGUGGAAAAAUACUACUUUCCCAAAAGUGCCUAUGGAUUUACAGAUCAUCCUGAAGACAGAAGCAGAAAUAUGUGGGCUACAAUAUGAAACAGGGUCUCACUCUCUCUCCCAGGCUGUAGUGCAGUGGUGUGACCUCAGCUCACCGCAACCUCCGCCUCCUGGGCUCAAGUGAUUCUUCUGCCUCAGCCUCCCAAGUAGCGGAACCACAGGUGCCUGCCACCACACCAGCAUGAUUAUAAGCUUCCUGAUGCGUCCCCAGAAGCCGAGCAGAUGCUAGCCCCAAGAUUCCUGUAAAGCCUGCAGAACCAUGAGCCAAUUAAACCUCUUUUCUUUAUAAAUUACC
rnacentral:lncRNA from 10 species